AAUCUGGGGCCCCCGGCCUCCGAGUUGUAAUUUGGAGAGGCUCCUUCGGGGGGGAGCGCUGGCCCAUGUUCCUUGGAACAGGACGUCGCAGAGGGUGAGAAUCCCGUGCCAGGCCGGCCGCCUCCUCCCACGUGAAGGGCCUUCGACGAGUCGAGUUGUUUGGGAAUGCAGCUCCAAGCGGGUGGUAAAUUUCAUCUAAAGCUAAAUACCGGCGGGAGACCGAUAGCGCACAAGUAGAGUGAUCGAAAGAUGAAAAGCACUUUGAAAAUAGAGUCAAAAAGUACGUGAAAUUGUUGAAAGGGAAGCGCUUGAGACCAGACUCAGACCCAGGCAAACACCGCGCCCCCAGGGGCCGUGCAAUUGCCCGGUGCUGGGCCAGCAUCAGUUGGCGUGGCGGGACAAGGGCGCGGGAAAUGUGGCUCCCCUCGGGGAGUGUUAUCAGGCCCGCGCCGGAUGCCGCCGACGCCGACUGAGGACCGCGCCUCGGCUAGGAUGCUGGCUUAAUGGCCUUCAGCGACCCGUCUUGAAACACGGACCAAGGAGUCUAACAUCUAUGCGAGUGUUUGGGCGCCAAACCCUUGCGCGGAAUGAAAGUGAGCGGAGGUGGGAACCCCUCACGGGGCGCACCAUCGACCGAUCCUGAUGUCUUCGGAUGGAUUUGAGUA
rnacentral:rRNA from 1 species